AGUACUUGUAUGUGUCUUUGUUUAAUUUGUUGUAACAAAGUCUUACAGACAGGUGCAAACACCAAGUCCUCUUUUGCAACUCAGAACUCAUUAUUGGUAUGAGUUUGGGUACAUGUAAGAAGGAAUGUG